rnacentral:rRNA from 1 species
UACGUAGGGCGCAAGCGUUGUCCGGAAUUAUUGGGCGUAAAGAGCUCGUAGGCGGUUCGAUAAGUCGGAUGUGAAAUCUCCACGCUCAACGUGGAGAGGCCAUUCGAUACUGUCGUGACUCGAGUCCGGUAGGGGAGUGUGGAAUUCCCGGUGUAGCGGUGAAAUGCGCAGAGAUCGGGAGGAACACCCGUAGCGAAGGCGGCACUCUGGGCCGGUACUGACGCUGAGGAGCGAAAGCGUGGGAGCAAACAGG